UGUGAUUCCUCUUUUAUUCCCUGCCUUUAAGGUGGAACAUGUUUGGGAUAAUAAUCUCUCCUUUACUAACUGGGAUCCCAGAACUAGAGCCUGAGAGCUGUGAAAUCUCAGAAUGGAGAGGCUGGCACUUGGCUUUCCCCUGGUUUUCCUUCUCCUGCCCUCCACACCUCCAUCUACUCCUUUUCCAGGGAACAAGAGGGUUUUCAUUCCAGAGAAAGCUGGGAAGAACUGCAGGAGCUGCCUGGAAGCACAGGGAUAUGACUGUCCUGCCUUCUGGACAAAGCCAGGAGUGACCCAGUUGGAGCUCAGUGAGGACCUUGAGCACGAGGUUGGACUUGAAACCUCCCAAGGAUCCUUCUGAACUGGAAUUUCUGUGAUUCCAUGGGAAUUCGGUGCCUUUUGGGGUGUUUGGGAGCACAAGCUGCCUCUCUUUUCCAUGAAAUCUCAUCCAUGAGGAAAUCACUCCCAGCAGUACAAGGCAGCAGUUGUUCCAUGGGGUUUUCUCUCUUUUCUCAGCACUAAAUGAGGGAUUGGUCCAGCACCACGAUCCUGCAGCCAGAGGUUUGUGGGAGGAAUUUCAGCCCCACGUGUGUGAUAUCAACAAUAAUUCCUGUGGCUGUGCAGAGAAUUCCAACCAUCCACGAUGAGCCCAGGAAUGUCACCUGCUCCCAUUCUUCUCCCAACAGAAACAGGAGAAGAUGCUGGGAAAUUACAGCACAAAUUUAUUUCUUUCCUCUUUCUCCUCUUUUUGUUUUCCCCAAGCUUAAGAAAAACACCCAACAAAAAAAACCCCAAAAAAACAACUUAAUUCUUUUCCUCUUCUCACAUCAACAGGAUUUGCCAGUAAUGAGGGAGGAGCAAGAUGUGUCAAAUGCCAUCCCAGAAAGCUGGAGUUGUGUUCCCAUCCCACUGAUGAGUUGGAAUCUGCUCCUUCCCAAAUCUUCAGCAUCCCAACGCUGUCCUUAGAAGGACCUGACUCCACAGCUUCCAGAAAUGGGAAUAACCAGGGCAGCUCUGAGGUUUCACUCAGCUGGAAUUACAACAAAACCCUGGAAAAGUGACCCUCCAAAGAAAUCCCUGAUCUCCUGUGACAGGGACAACCCUCAUUUCCAACCUGUUUCCAAACGUCCUGACAGUGGGCGAGUCGGGAAUGAGGGAAGCAAUAAACUGGCUCCUCAGCCACA
rnacentral:lncRNA from 1 species